rnacentral:tRNA from 1 species
GCGCCGGUAGCUCAGCUGGAUAGAGCGUCGCACUACGGAUGCGAAGGUCGGGGGUUCGAAUCCUCCCCGGCGCG